CCUACGGGUGGCAGCAGUGAGGAAUAUUGGUCAAUGGCCGAGAGGCUGAACCAGCCAAGUCGCGUGAGGGAAGACGGCCCUACGGGUUGUAAACCUCUUUUGUCGGGGAGCAAAGCGAACCACGUGUGGUUCAUUGAGAGUACCCGAAGAAAAAGCACAGGCUAACUCCGUGCCAGCGGCCGCGGUAAUACGGAGGAUGCGAGGGUGAUCCGGAUUUAUUGGGGUUAAGUGGUGCGCAGGCGGAGGGGCAAGUCAGCGGUCAAAUUGCGGGGCUCAACCCCGUACUGCCGUUGAAACUGCAUCCCUUGAGUGCGCGAGAAGUAUGCGGAAGGCGUGGUGUAGCGGUGAAAUGCAUAGAUAGCACGAAGAACUCCGAUUGCGAAGGCAGCAUACCGGCGCGCAACUGACGCUCAUGCACGAAAGCGUGGGUAUCGAACAGGAUUAGAUACCCGGGUAGUC
rnacentral:rRNA from 1 species